UUUACAGCCACGGCAAAUGAUGUUCUCUAUCCACAGGACAGGUACAGCACAGGCAGUAGCACUGCAAGCUUCCUCACAGCCUAUGCUACCAGUGUGCCUCAACCCAGACUUAGUAGUUCAGUCUCCAUGCUCACUGAGUCUGUGAUCUCU
ensembl:misc_RNA